AGCAUCUGAAUGAAAGCAUCUCUUCCUUCAUUUUAUUUUCUUCAUUUCUUCAUUAAGGUUUGGUCAGAAUAUUGCAGACCUUUAUAUUCUUUUAAGGAUUAUGUGUGGUCUGGAGUAAUUGGAUCAACCCCUGAAUACACCACUGUUUUGUGUAUGACGAAUGGUCAAGCAGUGGCAUGGUACACCCCAGCCAAGCGCUCCAUGUUCAGGACAUACCAAGCUUGGGAGGACCCUGAGAAAAAAAAACAGUCCAAGGCUGGGUGGUCUCUAUCAAGAGGAGAUAGUGGGAGGGUCACACACCAAGACAUAGUAAAGCAAGAACCUUAUCCAAGACACCCAGACCCGGCACCCUUCAUUCCUCUGCGACGGGAAAAAGAUGUGAUAAGAGUGUCUCAAAGCCCAUGGACACAAAGCCCCGGCUCCAUUUCUCACCCUAACUGCGCCAGAGACUGGCCCCAGGCACAUACCACAACAAAUACCAACAUAAGGACAAAGACACUCACCAAAAACACAAAAAGAAACAUCCACAAAACGAGACUAUCAGAUAAGGAACAGGCAGAGAAGGCGUAGGGGUAUGCAGAGAAGGGGUAGCUGGACCGACAGGGCACCUAGCCUCCAGCAGUGGUGCAACCUUAAACCUUUGAGCCACGUAAACAGCAAUUCAGUUAGAUUACUCUCCCAUAUCUAACAAUAAAG